UACGGGGGGGGCAAGCGUUGUUCGGAAUUACUGGGCGUAAAGGGCGCGUAGGCGGCCUGUUAAGUCGAACGUGAAAUCCCUGGGCUCAACCCAGGAACUGCGUCCGAUACUGGCAGGCUUGAAUUCGGGAGAGGGAUGCGGAAUUCCAGGUGUAGCGGUGAAAUGCGUAGAUAUCAGGAGGAACACCGGUGGCGAAGGCGGGUCUCUGGGCAGUAACUGACGCUGAGGAGCGAAAGCGUGGGGAGCGAACAGG
rnacentral:rRNA from 1 species